rnacentral:lncRNA from 1 species
CACACGAACCCUAUCGUCAAUUUCCUUUAAGUUUUGCUUAAUCAACAAACCCAGCUCUUUCAAAUCCAUCGAAUUCAAACUCUGCAAUAUCUCUUUUCCAUUCAGGCUUUGGAACAUGGCAGUUUUCAACUCCUUCUGUCAAUUUUCCUUACGCAGUUUCCUAAGAUGUUGAGUAGCUUUGGCUAAAGCUUUGCUCAAAGAAACUCUCUUGGUUAACCAUCAAUUGUUUUGUUUCGACAGGGGCAGCUUCUUGGACUUGGACAGCAAGCGUCGGGCACUCACGUGGGACGACCAUACCUCAGGUUGGGAGUUGAAAUCAGGAGAGUACAUAAUAGUACAAGCUUCAAUCCCAUAAAGGGUAGUGAGUUCAUGCACCUUCUUCACUAGACCCUUGGUUCUUUUCUUGUAAGUAGUUUUCCUUACUAAAUCAUUGGUAAUGUAGGCAAGCUUUAUUUUCUUUCUAGACAUGGAUAAUUGAAGAUUUAUUUUCUAUGCAUUUGAUUACAUGUUACCCUCACAGUGUGUGUGCUUAUGUAUGGAUAUUAGAGGCUUGUAGAGAAGAAGGGAUGCCCCACUUAUCCUUACUGGACACAUAUUAAUGUUGGCCUAAAAAGGAAAUGAGAAGAUAGGUGUUCAAAUUCCAGUUAUGAUACCAAAUUCAUUACCAUAAUAGCUGCAAUUUUAAUGUCGACAUUAAAUGCAUAAGUAUGUUUAAAGUUCAUAUAUCUGGCUUUCAGUUAUAUAUUUCAUAUUUCAGUGAUAUAUACCAUUUGUGUCACAAAGGUCGAAAUAAACUUCUCGUAGGCAUUUUACCGGGUUUUUGGGGCUCCAGAGGUUAGGAAUAAAUUGGAGACUUGGGAGUUAAUAGUUUAGGGAGAAAUAAUUCACUUCCAUGGUUGGUGGGUGGGGACUUCAACGAUAUUCUUUAUGCUCAUGAAAAAUAGGGCGGCUUGCUAAGGGAAGAGGCUCGGAUGAAGGCUUUUCGUAAAACUUUGGAAGAUUGUCAAUUGGAGAAUAUUGGUUUUUUAGGUGCUUGGUUCACGUGGGAAAGAGGCAAAACUAUGGACUAGAAUAUUAGGGAAAGAAUUGAUAGAGGGGUGGCCACUGAUUCUUGGUUUCAACUUUUUCAAAAGUAUUCUUUAACGCAUCUUCCACAUUCUUUCUUGGACCAUUGUCCAUUACUUAUGGAAACGGAAGAUGAAAAGAGGGGUAAAAAAUCUGUUAAGUUUCGAUUGAAGUUGAUAAUCUUAUAUAUCCCAAGACAAAGAUAGCAUUAAAACCAGAUAGCGCUGUCAAUAACAUCCUGAGGAACAACGCGCUUUAGUAAGCACACGAACCCUAUUGUCAAUUUCCUUCAAGUUUUGCUUAACCAACAGACCCAACUCUUUCAAAUCUAUCAAAUUCAAACUAUGUAAUAUCCAUUUUCCUUUCAGGCUUUGGAACAUGGUUUUCAACUCCUGUCGAUUUUCCUUACACAAUUUCCUAAGAUGUUGAGUAGCUUUGGCUAAGCUUUGCUCAAGGAAACUCUCUUGGUUAAACCAUCAAUUGUUUUGUUUCAACAAGGCAGCUUCUUGAACUUGGCACAGCAAGCGUCGUACACUCGCGUGGGACAACCAUACCUCAAGUUGAGAGUCGAAAUCAAGAGCGUAGAUAGCACAAGCUUAAAUCCCACAAAGGGUAGUGAGUUCAGGCACCUUCUUCACUAGACCCUUGGUUCUUUUCUUGUAGGUAGUUUUCCUUGCUGAAUCAUUGGUAAUGUAAGCAAACUUUAUUUUCUUUCUAGACAUGGAGAAUUGAAGGCUUAUUUUCUAUGUAUUUGAUUACAUAUUACCUUCACAAUGUGUGCUUAUAUCUAGAUAUUAGAGGCUUGCAGUGAAGAAGGGAUGCCCCACUUGUCUUCGCUGGACACAUUAAUGUUGACCUAAAAAGGAAAUGAGAAGAUAGGUGUUCAAAUUCUAGUUAUGAUACCAAAUUCAUUACCAUAAUAGCUGCAAUUUUAAUGUAGACAUUAAAUGCAUAAAUAUGUUUAGGGUUCAUAUAUUUCGCUUUCAGUUAUAUAUUUCAUAAUUCAAAAAUAUAUACCAUUUGUGUGUCGAAAUAAAUUUCUCGUUGGCGUUUUACCGGGUUUUAGGGCUCCGGAGGUCAAGAAUAAAUCGGAGACUCGGGAGUUACUUAGUAGUUUAGAGAGAAAAUAUUCACUUCCAUGGUUGGUGAGUGGGGACUUCAAUGAUAUUCUUUAUGCUCAUGAAAAACAGGGUGGCUUACUAAGAGAGGAGGCUCAGAUAGAGGCUUUCCGUAAAACUUUGGAAGAUUGUCAAUAAGAGGAUAUUGGUUUUUCAGGAGCUUGGUUCACGUGGGAAAGAGGCAGAACUAUGGACCAGAAUAUUAAGGAAAGAAUCGAUAGAGGGGUGGCCACUGAUUCUUGGUCUCAACUUUUCCAAAAGUAUUCUUUAAAGCAUCUUCUACAUUCUUUCUUGGAUCAUUGUCCAUUACUCAUGGAAACAGAGGAUGAAAGGAGGGGUAGAAGAUCUUUUAGGUUUCGAUUUGAAGCCUGGUGGGUUUUGGAGGAAACGUGUGAGUAUGAAAUAAGAAAGUUAUGGAAAUGUAGUUUUGGUUCCUUUCUAAUUCGCAUGAAAAUUCUUGCUAAUGGAUUGCAAGUUUGGGGGAACAAAAUUAAAAAUAAAAUAGGGAAGGAAGUGUAACAUUUGACUAGGAGACUAGAGGAGUUGAAUUGUGAUGAAAAAUCGGAGAAGAAUUUGGGUGAGAUUGUCAAAGUCAAACUUCACUUGAAUAUGGAGUUGGACAAAGAAGAGAAACACCAGAAGCAACGAGCAAGAGUUGGUUGAAAAUAGGGGACAAGAAUACUUCGUUUUUCCAUAAAUUUAUUUCUUAAAGAAGGCGAGUCAAUCGAAUCCGGAGUUUACAAACAAGUGAUGGAUCUCUUGCUACGAAUGGCAAGGAGGUGAAGAGCAUUGCUCAUUAGUAUUUUUCUGGUCUUUUUAAAUCUAAAGGAAUUGGUGACUUGGAGCACAUUCUUUCUAGAGUCCAUUCGUGUGUAUCGGACAAUAUGAAUCAAAGCUUGAUGGCCACUUACAAGGAGGAUGAAAUUAUUGAGGCACUGAAAGGAAUCGGGCCUACAAAAGCCUCGGGUGUUGAUGGUUUUUCGGCUAUCUUUUUACCAAAAGUACUGGCAUAUUUUUGGUAAGGAUGUUAGUGGUUUUUUUUAGAUAUUCUUAAUAAUGGCAAACCUUUGGAGGAUAUUAACAAAACCCAAUUGGUAAUAAUCCCCAAAAUGGCUAAUCCUAUUAAUUUAAAAAAAUUUCGCCUUAUCAGUUUAUGCACAGUUAUUUAUAAGAUAAUUGCAAAAACUAUUGCUAAUCGACUUCAAAAGGCUUUGCAUGAAUGUAUUGAUGAUUCACAGAGCGCUUUCAUAUCUGGUAGACUCAUUACUAACAAUGUACUUUUAGCAUAUAAGGUACAUCACUUGUUUAAGAAUAAAAGAUCUGGGAGAAAGAGCCUCAUGGCUUUAAAACUUGAUAUGAUUAAGGCCUACGAUAGAGUGGAGUGGCCUUUUAUAAAAGGAAAGAUGUCAAAAAUGGGUUUUGAUGAACAUUUUAUUAAACUUAUUAUCCGCUGUGUGAAUUUUGUCCAAUAUUCCAUUUUGAUUAAUGGGGAAGAAGGAUCAAGUUUUAAGCCUUGUAGGGGUUUGUGCCAAGGGGAUCCUUUAAGCCCAUAUCUUUUUUUUGUUUUGUAGGGAAGGAUUGUCUGCGCUAAUAAGAUUGACAGGUCAAGAAAAGAAAAUUUAGGGUGCUAAAAUUUGUAGGUCUGCCCCACCUCUUACCUACCUAAUGUUUGCUGACGAUUGUAUUUUGUUUGGAAAAGUAUCGAAUCAAGAAAUAAAUGUGCUGAAGAAUAUUCUCACGGAGUAAAAGUCUUGCUCAGGGUAAUGUGUUAAUUAUGAAAAAUUCACUGUUUUUCAGUACUAAUGUGAAGGAUGAUGACAAGAAUCAUGUUUUUCAGGCUCUCAAUGUUUCAUUGUUCGACAAACCUGGAAAGAUAUCUUCGACUUCCAAAUUGGAUGGGUCGUUAAAAAAAAUGGCUUUGAAAGAUCAACUGAAGUACAAAAUCAAUAACUAGAGUAUCAGGCAUAUUUCACAAGAAGGUCGAGAUGUCUUUAUUAAGGCGAUUUUACAAGCUAUCCCCACUUAUACGAUGGCUUGUUUCCUUUCACCAAAAUCUCUUUGCUUAGAGUUGGAAAAACAUAAUGGGUUCAUUUUGGUGGAAGAAUAAUCAUGGCAAGCGAAGAAUGUAUUAGUGUAAUUGGAAGUCCUUAUGUGCGCUUAAGGAAGAAGGUGGUAUGGGUUUGUGUCAUCUAAGUUCUUUUAAUAUUGCUUUAUUGGCCAAACAGGGUUGGCAUUUGUUAUGUAAUCCUACUUUACUAAAGCGUACUUUGAAAGCCAAAUAUUUUAAAGAUUCUGAUUUCUUAAACUCUAGACUGGAAAAUUUACCUCUUUUACCUGGCAGAGCCUUUGGGGUGCGAUAGGCCUCCUUUUGAAGGGACUGGGCUGGAGGAUCGGGGAUGGUCAGAAUGUUUCUAUUUGGAACGAUGUUUGGAUUCCUGGAAAUGACGAGGUCAAAGUCUAAAAUAUGAAUAGUAAUCCACAGCUCAUAAAAGUUGCAGAUCUAAUUGAUGCUAAUUCUAGAAAAUGGAAAUCUAAUUUGGUUUUUAGUACCUUUCUGGAGCAAGUUGCAGAAAGGAUUCUUUGUAUUCCUCUUUCUUUGUUCAUGCAUGAAGAUUCUCUCGUUUGGCGAGGUGAGUUGUCAGGGGAGUACCCGGUUCGUAGUGGUCACAAAAUUCUUUUACAUGACAGACAUAAUCAAAUACAUGCAGAUUAUAAACAAAUUUACAAGAAAUUGUAGAAGCUGGAUCUACCUUCUAAAAUUAAAAUUUCAGUUUGGUGACUCUUGUGUAACUAUCUGCCUACUUUUAGUAAUCUUCACUAUCGAAGAAUGCUAGCUUCUCCUACUUGUCGGCGGUGUCAAACUGGAGCGGAGACAAGGGAAUAUCUAUUUCGUGAUUGCCCUUUUACAAAGGAGACAUAAGAGCAGUUAAGUAUUUUUUGGUCUAUUUCAGAUGAAAACUCAAAUUUCAGAGAUUGGUUAAACAAUUCUUUUGAGACCAAAUCUAUGGCAAACUGCAGAAUGAUAGCAUGUGCAUUGUGGGCGAUUUGGACAUCUCGAAAUAGAUUUAUUCAUGAAGGGAAAUUAAAAUCAGGUGCACAAGUUACUGUUUUUGUGAAAAACUAUUUAAAGGAACUUAAUGGUUUACAUAGUUCUGUACCUGAAAGAAGGGUGUGUGUGUACAGAUGGGUUGCUCCGGUGGGUUAGUGAUUUGAAACGAUAAAGCUGGGAUCAUUUGUUCAAAAACUGUAAUGAACAAGAACAUACCGUCUGUCUUGCAGCAAAAACAGUGGCGUGUUUCCAGGCACUGAAUCUUGGUUUUCAACUAGGUUUGAGAGAGGUAGAGAUUGAAGGCGACUCUCGGUCAGUAAUUCGGAAGCUGCAAGGACAGAUCUGAGAUUUUAGCGUAUAUCAACAAUUCUCUGAAACUGAGUUUAAGAUUCAGUUUAUGUGGUUUUCUUUUUACCAACAAGAAGCCAAACAAGGUAGCCCAUUUACUAGCAUCUGAAGGAAUUAAGAAAGGGGAAACUACUUAUCUGUUGAAUAUGGUCCCUUCUGGUGUUGCGGAGGAAAUGGCUGAAGAUAGGAGGUGGACGGAGGAGGCGAGAGAGUCAAGAGGGAGAGGAAAUGAAGAGGUAGGUGGGAGUGUUUUUUGAAUUAGCUGGUAGCAUUCAAAUUGGAUAUUAUCUCUAAAGUGCAUUGGGGUAAAUGAAAAGGUUUCUGAAAGGGGUUGGAUUUGAUGGCUAAUUAAAGUUUCUGCUAUGUUGUUUUUCUCAGGUGUUUUCGUUGUUUUCAAGAGGGGUUCUUUUAUUGGUGUACAGCUGGAGUUGGAAGACUCUAGAGCUCCCUUUUGACGUUUUGCUAGAUCUGAUAUUGGGCCUUUUUUUUAUUUGUUUUGGC